UACGUAGGGUGCGAGCGUUGUCCGGAAUUAUUGGACGUAAAGGGCUCGUAGGCGGCUUGUUGCGUCUACUGUGAAAGCUCGGGGCUUAACUCCGGGUGUGCAGUGGAUACGGGCAGGCUAGAGUCCGGUAGAGGAGACUGGAAUUCCUGGUGUAGCGGUGAAAUGCGCAGAUAUCAGGAGGAACACCGGUGGCGAAGGCGGGUCUCUGGGCCGGUACUGACGCUGAGGAGCGAAAGCGUGGGGAGCGAACAGGCUUAGAUACCCUGGUAGU
rnacentral:rRNA from 1 species